GCCCAGGUGGCGAAACCGGUAAACGUGCCAGGUCGAGAGCCUGGUGGGCCUGAGGCCCCUGCAGGCUCGAGCCCUGCCCUGCGCACCA
rnacentral:tRNA from 1 species